GAUGAACGCUGGCGGCGUGCUUAACACAUGCAAGUCGAACGGAAAGGCCCAAGCUUGCUUGGGUACUCGAGUGGCGAACGGGUGAGUAACACGUGGGUGAUCUGCCCUGCACUUCGGGAUAAGCCUGGGAGACUGGGGCUAAUACCGGAUAGGACGAUGUGCUGCAUGGCAUUGUGGAGAGAGUUUUCGGUGUGGGAUGAGCUCGCGGCCUAUCUGCGUGUUGGUGGGGGGAUGGCCUACCACGGCGUCGUCGGGUAGACGGCCUGGGAGGGUGUACGGCGACAUUGGGGGUGAGAGACGGCGCAGACUCCUACGGGAGGCAGCAGUGGGGAAUAUUGCACAAUGGGGGCAAGCCUGAUGCAGCGACGCCGCGUGGGGGAUGACGGCCUUCGGGUGGUAAACUCCUUUCGCUAGGGACGAAGCGUUUUUGUGACGGUAACUGGAGAAGAAGCACCGGCUAACUACGUG
rnacentral:rRNA from 1 species